rnacentral:rRNA from 1 species
CCCUUAGAUGUUCUGGGCUGCACGCGCGCUACACUGAUGCGUUCAACGAGUUUUUAGCUUAUCUGAUAAGAUUGGCUAAUCUUCUGAAAACGCAUCGUGAUGGGGAUAGAUUAUUGUAAUUAUUAAUCUUCAACGAGGAAUUCCUAGUAGGUGUGAAUCAUCAGUUCACGCCGAUUACGUCCCUGCCCUUUGUACACACCGCCCGUCGCUCCUACCGAUUGAGCGAUCCGGUGAAUAAUUCGGACCGGUGAGCUUCCAGGUUUACCUGGCUGCUUGCUGGAAAGUCUAGUGAACCUUAUCACUUAGAGGAAGGAGAAGUCGUAACA